rnacentral:rRNA from 1 species
CCUACGGGAGGCAGCAGUGGGGAAUAUUGCACAAUGGGGGAAACCCUGAUGCAGCGACGCCGCGUGAAGGAAGAAGUAUUUCGGUAUGUAAACUUCUAUCAGCAGGGAAGAAAAUGACGGUACUUGACUAAGAAUCCCCGGCUAAAUACGUGCCAGCAGCCGCGGUAAUACGUAGGGGGCAAGCGUUAUCCGGAUUUACUGGGUGUAAAGGGAGCGUAGGCGGUGUAGCAAGUCAGAAGUGAAAGCCAGGGGCUCAACUCCGGGACUGCUUUUGAAACUGUUGAACUAGAUUGCAGGAGAGGUAGGUGGAAUUCCUAGUGGAGCGGUGAAAUGCGUAGAUAUUAGGAGGAACACCAGUGGCGAAGGCGGCUUGCUGGACUGUAAAUGACGCUGAGGCUCGAAAGCGUGGGGAGCAAACAGGAUUAGAUACCCUGGUAGUC